UGAUAAUUUAGUGGUUAUUGAAGUAAAUAUGAAACAUUGUAAUUUUUUCCUACGCUACUUCUUGCUUUAAAGGAUUGAUAUACAACUGAAGUAAAGAUUAUCAGAAGACAUCAGUUAUUCAUGAAGAACAGCUCUACUACAAUAAGAUAUGGAUCGGUGAAUUUGGUACAUCGUGGCUUCUCUUCUCCAGUGUACACAUGUUCAAAACUAUUUAGUGUGCAUGAAAUAGUUACUAAUAUCAAAAUUAUUCUAUUUUACAAUUUAUAUUAUACAAUUUAUUUGUUUUCAAGUACCAUAUGUUUCAGGUUCAUCGCAGCAUCUCUUCUCAAAUAUACAUUAGAUCUCAGUUAUUUUUUCAUUUUCACUCUGUGCAUGCGUUUAGUGAUCAUUUUACAUUUCUAAUUUGUGUUUUUUAUCUACAUUGUGUUUGUUUCUUGUGU